rnacentral:rRNA from 1 species
UACGUAGGGGGCAAGCGUUGUCCGGAUUUAUUGGGCGUAAAGAGCUCGUAGGUGGUUCGGUAAGUCGGAUGUGAAAUCUCCAGGCUCAACCUGGAGGGGUCAUUCGAUACUGCCGUGACUAGAGUUCGGUAGGGGAGUGUGGAAUUCCUGGUGGAGCGGUGAAAUGCGUAGAUAUCUGGAGGAACACCGGUGGCGAAGGCGGCAUCCUGGACCGGCAUUGACGCUGAACAGCGAAAGCCAGGGGAGCAAACGGG